rnacentral:misc_RNA from 1 species
UGUGUUUGCUGGAUAUCAUUAUGACCUUAACUUUCUAACAAUUCAUGGUAGAAGCAGAUUUCCUGGUCUUAACAUUUGGCUAAGGAAUGGACAGAAAGUUGGAGUGAAGGUUCCUCUAGGAUGUCUACUCAUUCAGACAGGGAAGCAGAUAGAGUGGUUGACUGCAGGAGACUGCAUAGCUGGCAUGCAUGAAGUUGUUGUCACAAAGAGAACAAUUGAUGCAGUCAAAUUAGCAUCAGAACAAAACUGUAGCCUAUGGAGAGUUUCCUCAACACUUUUUGCACACAUAGCAUCAGAUGCUGUGUUAAAGCCUUUAGGUCACUUCGCAGAAUCCCCGCUAGCCAGCAAAUACCCUCCCAUCCGUGCUGGAGAGUUUGUCGAACAAGAACUUUCUGUAAUCAAUCUGAAAGGAAAUAAAGGUGAAUCAUGAUUACUUUCUAAGUAGUGACCACCAUUAUGCAUCUUGUUGUUCCACUGAUGCAAACAGUGUCUUAUUAUGGUUGUUGGGAUUUUUCAUUUGCAUUAUAAAGAAGGGGGCUUCAGUGGGGCUAGAAUAUUUUAUUGAGCAAUAUCUUGCUCUUAUCAUGUACUAACAAAUUCAUGAUAUUUCUGCAUGUUCUUCCAUGUUUAUUGUGAAUGGUGCACACAUGCUUAUCCUUGAACCCUGUCAGGUUUUGUGAAAUUAGUUAUUAUUGACAUCUUUUUUACUUAUCUGCCGUAUCAAAUGAAUCAUGACAUUAUCUUUUAGUUUAUUAGGGGUUCCUUGUUGCUGGGAGGGAGAUCAAGUUCAAAGAUGAAACCAGCAAUGGGAGGUGUGAAGGCCAUCCCAUUACUGGUUUUUGUAGUUUUGUCAUGACAGGCUUGGUCUUAACUGAUACUUUGCAGGGCUGCAUUAGUUUCUUUCAAGAAAUCAUCUGGGUGAGGCCCAUUUGCUAGGAAAGAAAAUUCUAGGCCGGCCAUUGCUUGUAUGUGCUUGGCAACAAGUAUGCAUACAAGGGCAGUCCACUCAUUGGAGUCCUGAUCCAGCCCCAAAAAUGCAAGGACGGGGCCUCAAUUUUAGACCCAUAAACUCUGGUUCAUGUAUAGGCUAUAGAUAGAAACAACAAAAAUACACACAGAUGCAAUGCAAUAGAAACAACAAAACCAAGAGGACCACAGGAUACUUGUACUCUG